UACGUAGGGGGCAAGCGUUAUCCGGAAUUAUUGGGCGUAAAGCGCACGCAGGCGGUCUGCCAAGUUUGGAGUGACAGUUGGUGGCUCAACCACCAAAGUGCUUCGAAAACUGGCAGACUUGAGGGCUUCAGAGGGACACGGAAUUCCGGGUGGAGUGGUGAAAUGCGUAGAGAUCCGGAGGAACACCGAAGGCGAAGGCAGUGUCCUGGGGAGUACCUGACGCUCAGGUGCGAAAGCUAGGGGAGCGAACGGG
rnacentral:rRNA from 1 species